rnacentral:ncRNA from 1 species
CAACCUCAACUCAUAUGGGACUACCCCCUGAAUUUAAGCAUAUUAAUUAGGGGAGGAAAAGAAACUAACAAGGAUUUUCUUAGUAGCGGCGAGCGAAAAGAAAACAGUUCAGCACUAAGUCACUUUGUCUAUAUGGCAAAUGUGAGAUGCAGUGUAUGGAGCGUCAAUAUUCUAGUAUGAGAAAUUAAUGAUUUAAGUCCUUCUUAAAUGAGGCCAUUUACCCAUAGAGGGUGCCAGGCCCGUAUAACGUUAAUGAUUACUAGAUGAUGUUUCCAAAGAGUCGUGUUGCUUGAUAGUGCAGCACUAAGUGGGUGGUAAACUCCAUCUAAAACUAAAUAUAACCAUGAGACCGAUAGUAAACAAGUACCGUGAGGGAAAGUUGAAAAGAACUCUGAAUAGAGAGUUAAACAGUACGUGAAACUGCUUAGAGGUUAAGCCCGAUGAACCUGAAUAUCCGUUAUGGAAAAUUCAUCAUUAAAAUUGUAAUAUUUAAAUAAUAUUAUUAAGAAUAAUGUGCAUUUUUUCCAUAUAAGGACAUUGUAAUCUAUUAGCAUAUCCCAAAUUUAUCAUAAAAUAUAACUUAUAGUUUAUUCCAAUUAAAUUGCUUGCAUUUUAACACAGAAUAAAUGUUAUUAAUUUGAUAAAGUGCUGAUAGAUUUAUAUUAUUACAGAGCGUUAAUUUUUCGGAAUUAUAUAAUGGCAUAAUUAUCAUUGAUUUUUGUGUUUAUUAUAUGCUCUUGUAUGAUUAACAAUGCGAAAGAUUCAGGAUACCUUCGGGACCCCUCUUGAAACACGGACCAAGGAGUCUAACAUAUGUGCAAGUUAUCGGGAUGUAAACCUAAUAGCGUAAUUAACUUGACUACUAAUGGGAUUAGGAAUCCCACC